UCCCUGGUGUCCUAAUGGUUAAGGAUCCAGCAUUGUCACUGCUGUAGUGUAAGUUCAAUCCCUGGCCCAGGAA
rnacentral:tRNA from 1 species